CCUACGGGUGGCAGCAGUAGGGAAUAUUGCUCAAUGGGCGAAACCCUGAAGCAGCAACGCCGCGUGGAGGAUGAAGGUUUUAGGAUUUUAAACUCCUUUUUUUAGAGAAGUUUAUGACGUUAUCUAACGAAUAAGCAACGGCUAACUCCGUGCCAGCAGCCGCGGUAAUACGGAGGGUGCAAGCGUUAGUAGGAAUCACUGGGCGUAAAGAGGGCGUAGGCGGAGUAAUAAGUCAGAUGUGAAAUCCUGUAGCUUAACUGCAGAACUGCAGUUGAAACUGUUACUCUGGAGUGUGGGAGAGGUAGGUGGAAUUCGUGGUGUAGGGGUAAAAUGCGUAGAGAUCAAGAGGAAUACUGAUUGCGAAGGCGACCUGCUGGAACAUUACUGACGCUGAUGCACGAAAGCGUGGGGAUCAAACAGGAUUAGAUACCCGAGUAGUC
rnacentral:rRNA from 1 species